rnacentral:lncRNA from 1 species
UUUUAAUUACCAUUAUUUGAGAUUUAGACACAAAAACAUGUAGUUUGUUUGCAUUAGUAGUUGAUUUAAUAUUUAAUUGUAACAUACCAUGGAUUUUGCAGUGUUCAAAUAUAUUAAAUUACUGUGAGUCACUCGAGGUGGACUUGCACUAAGUGACAAAGAAAAAAUUAACAUUGAUCUUCGAUGCUAUAAAUAUUCCAAGAUUGUGUUGAUUGUAUGAAUGUGUGUUAAGCCUCCCAUCAAUUAUGCAUUUAAUCAUUCUUAAUUAGUCAUAUAAACAAAUGUAUAGAACCUAGUUAAUUAGGUUUUAGGCAUCCCGCAACCCCAUUGUGAUAACUUAAUGGGCGAUUAUCAACAUACGAGUUUUUGUUAUGGUCGGUUUCUUAUAUUCAAUCCAAAUUAUCCAAAAUAUAAAACCCAAUAAAUUUGAAGGGAUUGAAAGGAUAGGUUGUCUUGCUUUGUUAUUUCAACUUGUUCAAUAAUCCUCAUUUGUGUAGUUUUUCUUAUAAAAAAGUUGAUGGAUAGUGUCAUGAGUGAAAAUCUACCGGUAAUCAAAACAAGCUGUAUAUGUUGCUGAGCUUGAACAAGAUUUGAACCAAGCUUAAUACUCUAAAUUAGUAUUUUGCUCAACGAUGAAACAAUCACUUAGAUUUAAAUGGAUUGAACCUUUGCAGAUUAGGUUGUAAUUUCACUAGAGAAAAUUCUCCACUAGAGCGGGAGUUAUGUUCUUUUGGGUGAGCAUACGCAAAAGUUAGCUAGUCCUAGUUCUGUCCCUAACCCUGGUUGUGACUAGUUUGAUGUAGAUUGAGUAGUCGAUUGACCUAUUUAAGUAAAGAGAAUAAGCAUAACCCUAAUGCCUAGGUCAUGGACCUAGCAUUUAAGAUGUUAGAAUGGCAUACAUCUUAUAUAUAAAGCUAACACAAAAGUUGAAUAUAUAAAACUAACACAAAAGUUGAACGGUGCUUUUUGUGUCACCAAACUUCAACAACCAACAUAAAAAGGUGAACAGUAAAUUUGGUGUCGUCAAGCUUUAACAAAACUAUUUAGACAAAAAUGCUCCCAAGACAAAAAGCUUCAAAGACAUCCCAAAAUAAUGCAUCAAAUAAGGCAAGAGCAUUUUUGUCAUUUUAACAGUGUUUUUUUUAAUAAUUAAUUUUUUGGUACUGUCACGCCCUGACCCGCGAAUAAAGACCAUUCACGAGUUAGGGUGUGAGCCAUAUCUUAGCUAUAGAAAUAAAUUCUACAACCAAGAUAUGGUGGAAAAUAAAAUAAAAUUAUAACGAUUACACCAUACAUCAACAAAAUCUUACAUAAAAAUUUAUUGAAUACGCAGCGGAAUAACUAUGGUGCACAAAUUAAUUCACAACAAAAAGUACCAAUAAAAUAAUAAUUAAAUUGUAACAAUUCUUUCAAAUGCGUGAAAUAUAUGCAAAUGAGAUGGAUGAAUGUACUCACUUCCUUCUAAUCCCGUCAACACAUACCUAAGGCACCCAAGUCUGCACAUUCCAUACCAUGUUUAUAUCACUUGGCUCCAGAUACGUUAGAGUAUGAGUUAACUUCUGUUCAUCCCUUAAACCCAAUUUUUGUAAUUAAACUCUCAGUUUCCACUUUUUAAUACAGGCACUUCCCCCGACCCCUAAUUGUAUACUCAAGCCCUGCACCCUACGCCUGACAUAUACAAGGUUCAAUAUUUUAUAUUCAAGGCAAACUUCAGCCCUUAAAUAUCCUCACAACCCAAAUACCUUACAAAACUCAACACAACUGAACUCUCUUUCUUGGUUUGCAUGAAUGUUUAUGUAUGUGCCAUGUAACAAGGAUAUCAAUAAUCACAUGCUCUAUAACAUCUGCAACACUAAUCAAACUGUUAGUAGCCAAAAUUGUAUUAUAUCUGCAACACUAAUCAAAUUGUUAGUAUCCAAAAUUAUAUUAUCAACAAUAUAUAGUAUGAAUAACACACAACAAUCUAAUUGAGAAAUAUUACUUUACCAUUUUACUCCAUCUCUCUAGGUGAUAUUGAUGCAUAAAUCCAUUUGAGUUCCAUAUAGAGCAAUUAUGUUGGGUAAGCUCUCAUGCAUUUUCUAGGUUUUGUCCCCACCCCCCCCCCUCCCCUUUUAUUUUACAACAUUCUCAAGGGAAGUAAAUGGAUAUUUUCGAUGGUUUAGUGGAGUGCUUCUCAUGGAAAUGAUCUCAAAAUGUAAAUGCAUAAACAACACAAGAUUUAAGUGGUUCGCCAAAUUGACUACAUCCACUGGGGUUUGCUUUCAUUGUAUUUCACUAUAUAUGAGGGACUUACAAAUACAAUGAAAGAUGACUUAAAGCCUUUACAUAAUGUAAAGUAAAUGGGAAAAAAAAAGAAAAAGAAAAGUGAUCUGGGAAGGAGAUGAGGUUUUUUUAUUCUUGUUUCAUCGUGUGUUGUUGUUGGAGGUAUGUUGUUCUCCUCCCCCGUUCCUCUCCUCCCUCUGCUUUUACGGAUGAAGAAAUGGAAUCCUCCGUUACGCCUUAAGGACACGUUCACUUUGUUUUGCAACACUUGGACAUCUUGUAAUUGGAAGCAAUCAUUCCCAUGCAUGUGGACAAAUGCUCAAAAGCCACGUUUAAAGUCUAAGGGAUAUGAAUCCCACCUCUUCAAAUUUUGGAGGGAUGAAUCAUCACCAAACAUUUAACUCUUAGAUUCCUAAUGAAUACAAACUUAACUCACCCUUAAGUAGACUUCCACCUUCACAUUUAGGGGUGGUUUGGGAGUGAGGUGCUUAAAAAAAAAGCACCCAUGAAAAGAAGCUGUGAGGGUUUUAGGUGUUUGGUAAACUGAAAAAAAAGGGCUUAUUUUGGAAGCUGCUGUGAGAAUAAGCUGAAAUCAAAGGAAAAAGCUGAAGCUACUAUUAGCAGCUUUGGAAAACUAGCUUUUUUUCAAAGCACACAGAGCUACACUGCUCCUUUAAUGAAAAAACUCAUUAUCAGACUGUUUUUUUUUUUUCCAAAAGCACUUUUACAAAAAAGUUUACCAAACACUCUGCUGAUUUAUUUCACAUCCGCUUAUUCUCACAGCACAGCCGCUUAUUCUCACAGCAGUUUUUUUUCAAAACACAGCAAUACCAAACCAGCCCUUAGAGUGGUGACUAAUCACCAAAUCAUUAACUCCUAAUGUUACAAACUCUCCACCUCAUUUUUGAGAGAAAAUAUCAAGACAAAAUUACUCAUUUAGUCCAACCUCAAACUCUCGGCCCUUUGUGAGGAAAAUCAAACCAAACUCAUUUAAUCUCCCUUCUCCAAUUCAAAAUAAAAAUAUCUCUAAUUACAUAUGAACAUGAAAUAGCUAGUUUU